rnacentral:lncRNA from 1 species
CUGUAUAGAACUUGCAUUGUCAUUGUUAGAAAUUGAAAUCUGCUUGUCUUGACUCAGUCCAGUUCUGAUUGUUGCUAUGCCAUAGUUAAAUCCAUCAGUGAUGUCUUAUAAGCAUUUAGAAGUAUGUCUAAGCUACUUGAAUCAUUGGCUUUGAUAAAACUAGUGAGCAUAAGCAUGAAUUGAGUCACUCUUGUCGCCUUGAUUGCAUAAGUAUCAUCUAGACUUGUGUUCCAUUUAGAUUGAAUCUGUUUCAUUCAUAUAGUUAGUGUGUAACCUAAUGCAUUCAUCUAUUGUUGCAUUUAAAAAAAAAAAAAAAAACAAAACUGAA